rnacentral:rRNA from 1 species
UACGUAGGAUGCAAGCGUUAAUCGGAAUUACUGGGCGUAAAGCGUGCGCAGGCGGUUUUGUAAGUCUGUCGUGAAAUCCCCGGGCUUAACCUGGGAAUGGCAUUGGUGACUGCACGGCUAGAGUGUGUCAGAGGGGGGUAGAAUUCCACGUGUAGCAGUGAAAUGCGUAGAGAUGUGGAGGAAUACCGAUGGCGAAGGCAGCCCCCUGGGAUAACACUGACGCUCAUGCACGAAAGCGUGGGGAUCAAACAGG